rfam:Triticum aestivum genome assembly, contig: Triticum_aestivum_CS42_TGACv1_scaffold_160827_2DL
UAACUACUCCCUCCGUUCGGAAUUACUUGUCAAAAAAAUGAAUAUAUCUACAACAAAAAUACAUCUAGAUACAUCCAUUUCUUGGACGAGUAAUUCCGAACGGAGGGAGUACUUC